rnacentral:rRNA from 1 species
UACAGAGGUCCCAAGCGUUGUUCGGAUUUACUGGGCGUAAAGGGUGCGUAGGCGGUUGGGUAAGUCUGUCGUGAAAUCUCCGAGCCUAACUCGGAAACUGCGUCGGAUACUAUUCAACUCGAGGAAUGGAGGGGAGACUGGAAUUCUCGGUGUAGCAGUGAAAUGCGUAGAUAUCGAGAGGAACACCAGUGGCGAAGGCGAGUCUCUGGACAUUUCCUGACGCUGAGGCACGAAAGCCAGGGGAGCAAACGGG